GAGUUUGAUCGUGGCUCAGAUUGAACGCUGGCGGCAUGCUUUACACAUGCAAGUCGAACGGACUUUGAGGCUUGCCUCAGAGUUAGUGGCGAACGGGUGAGUAAUGCAUCGGAACGUACCGCGUAGUGGGGAGUAACGCAGCGAAAGACUGUGCUAAUACCGCAUACGAUCUACGGAUGAAAGUAGGGGACCGGCAAGGCCUCACGCUAUACGAGCGGCCGAUGUCCGAUUAGCUAGUUGGUGGGGUAAAGGG
rnacentral:rRNA from 1 species